rnacentral:lncRNA from 1 species
ACACACCUAAACAUGCCAUUUUAAACAUCCUAAUUCAUCUAACCAAUAUGCCAUUCAAAGGCACCACAAUUGUAUCAAACAUUAUUGUAAAAUCACACAUUUAUAACCUAUAUCCAUCAACUAACCUAAACACCAACACAAUCAUAAUUCCAACUAUUUCAAAUAUUAUAUAGAUGCAUCACUUAUCAUAUCUACAAGC